AAAAAGUGAGACUAAUGAAGUGUUCACACCUAGAAAAAAGCAAUUGUGUGAGAACCACACCACUAAAGAGUAAAGUAAGAUGAUCUCGUAGCUUGCAAGUUAAUUUACUCUUUUGUUGAUUUAGUUAUCGAUUGUAAAGUGACAGUUUGUCUGAAUUUUUUAAGGCUUAUGAGUUUAGGGUCAGAGGCAAACCUGGUUUAAUGUUUAGGUAAAAGCGAAAUUGGUUUCAAAAUUUCAUUGUAAUGGUAGAGACAAAGGAACAACACAAGAAAAUAAAGUUUAAGUGUGUGGUUGGUAUAAGUAUAGGGUAAUGCCUCGACACAUUUGGUAGCUUAAAGGCUGUUUUAGUUUUUCAAAUAUUGCGAGUGAGCACCAGCUCAGAUCUUCACUGGUGCUUCAACAGGAUCAACUUGUUCAGCUUCUUCGUAACCCUUUCCUUAGUGAGUUGUUGACUUUAUUCUUUAUAUUUACCAAGAUGGUCAAAGCUGACUUUGCAGUAACUUUUAGCUAUAAGUUUGAUCAGCCUAAAUAAAUUAUGUGGUUAUCAUUCA